UCGAAAUAAAGAGUCACAAUUCAAAUUUGCGUAAUUUUUUAGCGCACUGUAAAAAAAAUCUAUAGUAGAUUUCCUAAAAACGUCUAUAACGCCAUUAACAUGUACGUGUAUGAAUUUUCCCGCGGGAAUCGCAAUUAAAUAUAUUUAAAUGCAGGCUUUGCAAACUAAGAAGCUUCACUCCCGGACCUGGAAUCCCGGUUUAGAAACAAAGCCAAGUGCGCCACUGCCCCGAUAAGCACAAUAAUGUUAGACCAUCAGAGUGGAUUCAGAGUUCACGAAACGCAAGCAAGCAGCGUGAUUUUCACGCGCCGUAGGCUUCGCGCAGCCAAUGACAGGCCGACUUUCGUCACGCUGGGUGUGACACCCACGCCUGGCGUGAUAGUAGUUGCGCUCGCGUUUUGGGGCCCUGAAUCCCACUUCACAAAGCAAAUACUACGCCGGUAACCUCCAUUUAUUGCAUAACGCACGAGGAUUUAUGCGCGAUACAACGUUCAUGGUGUUCGCACGCCAGGCGCCAGGCGUGGCCGGGAGGUGGCAGGUCGGCAGGGUUGCACACGGCUGCAGCACUUAGUUCAAUCCAGGCGUCUGCAAAAUUUGCCGUAUCUCUCUGUCUCUCCUCGCCUCUCUGCUUGCUCUCUUAGCAUUCUGGUGAUCCAUGAUGUAAAGCAAGGGGUGUGUCCGACGUGCGGCCGGGACCGGUACUGCCACCUUGACUACCACCUUCACCCCUUGUACUGGCAGUGCUUAGGCUUAGGCUAGCAUACAACCUUACUAUGAUAAAUAAAAAGCGAUUGUGGCACUUUGAGCUCUUGCCAUUUGGAGGACUACCCAUGUAUAAAUAUCAUGUUUAUGAACAUGUUGGCCGGAGGAGCACUUUUGAUUCGGAAGAGUCUGCUAGGAAGGGCAGGAAGGGUUCGCAUGAAAUAGCCGUGAUAGAGAGCUCAGGGACGUUAAUUUGGAGAGCAGAGAUACCCGGUCGGCAAACACUGGGCCGGAAACCGCUCUCGCGUGCCGGACUGUAUUGUAUCGUGAUACAACAGUGUCGUGGUGUUUGCACGGCAGCAGUUAGCCGGGAGGCGGCAGGUCGCACACCGUCGCCCACUGCCGCAGCACACAUAGCCCAAUCAUAGCGGGGCCAAGUGGGAGGCCGUAGACCGCGUCCACCACCACCUCUGGGCGUUCAAAGUAUCCCCUAGUGCAGCCUAAUUCUGCGAUUCUGGUGAUCCGAGAUGUCAUGCAAACUUGUGGUGGUUUUCGCACUCCUUUGCCAGGCGGGCAUUCACGGCAAAAGUAUCAACUCUAUCGCGGGCCCUUAUAUAUCUUACGCCGAACGCUUUUACAUGUGUGAACUACAAAAUCACACGCCUACGUGGAAAUGGAAUAUCCGUACUACUCGCUUCAAUCCAUAUAAACCAAGAGAAAUUCAGCUGCUAAGCGGGAACGUGACAAGUGUAAAUGAUUCUCUUGAUGACAACUGCUGGGUAA